UGUGCAUCAAAAUUACCAUCCGAUAAGAUGCAAAGUUGCCACCUAAUAAUAUAUUAAAUAACACAGUGUUAGUAAUACAUUAGCACAUGGUAACUUUUCUGAAACAAGUGUGGUAACUUGUGCAUUACCGUAUGGUAACAAAAAGAUCAAAAUAAAUUUUCGGAGAGAGAUCUAAUUUUAAAGCUCUCGCUGAUACGAAGUCAACAGUGAAAACGGACUGUGAAUCGGACAAACGGUUAAACGUACAAAACAUUUUGAGUGUUCAAAACAACGACAUGCAAAGAGCAUGCAUGCUGCUAAAACAAACAUGAGUGAAUGCAUAUGAUCAAUUCCUGAUUAGCAAAAGAAAAAAAAUACAUGCAUGCGUUCAGGACACAGCGCAGCGGCAGCAGGCAGCAUGCUAGCGCGCGUUGCGCCACCGGACAAUAGCGCGAACGUACGCGCGAUAUAAAUUCCGAUUCUAAUUAGCCAUAGCAUCGCUAACCUUCAGUUUAAGUAAGCCAAUGUGCAAAGUCCUGGACUCUCUCUUCCCUUUCCCCCCCUAGAAAAGUCAUCAAGGGUUUCACCUUUGCCAUCACACCUAUGUUCACGGGUAGAUCCCCGGUUUUCUCCUUCGCCGCCGGCUCCGCAAGCAGUGGUGUGUAAGAAGACCCCAAUCCGCCGGUGUAAAAUGUAAUUUUCCUCAUCUAGUCCGAUUCGGUCGAUAAACUUUUUCACCACUCUCAAAUAUAUUAACCCCAGUAUUAAGCCUCCUUGGUUGAUUAGGUGGUGCUGGUGUGAGAACAACACACCUGACAUGCCGAUGUCGCUCUUGCAUGAGUGCAGAUGUGACAACGCCGCUCGUCCCCUUUGUCCUUUGACACCUCGAAGAUAAUGUGUUGAUUUUGUUUUUACGGUGAGACGAUGACCCGAGAAACUCGGGGCUUCUUGGAUUCAUGGGCAAAGACGAACGAAAAAAAUUAAAUAAAAAAUAUCUCUUCAGUGACAUUAUUCAUCUAUUUAAUUCAAAAAAUAAAGAAAAAGAAAGAUACACUAGAAAAUUUUCUUUCAACUUAUUUUUAAAAGGAAACACAAAUUUGUAGACUAGAUCUCUUUUAAAAUGUCUUUGCACAAAGAACUGAUACAAUGAUAUUUGUGGCAUAGUACAACAAUUUUACUUUUAUUUUUGCUUGCAAUCCAUGUGCCUUUUCAAAAUCUAUGAAUCAAACAACCACCUCUACAAAAUUCAUGUAAUUCUGUACACAUGCAUUUCUACCGUAUGCUUAUAGUUUCCACGUUCCUUUCUAAAAUGCGUACAAAUCACUAUCUAGAAUGGCAUUGUCGUCAAAACAGGUUAUGAUCCAGUUAAAAGAAAGAGGAUAUGAUCUUGUAUUUCUAUAACAAUAACGAGUUUUGCUCCUGUACACUUUCUCCGUAUAAACUACACC
rnacentral:lncRNA from 1 species